rnacentral:sRNA from 1 species
AUUUGUGAAUGAAUAUGUUUUUACUUCAGCCCUAACAGCUUACAGUCCCAACAUGCUGGCUCUACAAGAAAUGAUGAAAGCCCAGUUGGAGCUAGUGCAAAACUUUGUUGCCAUACAGACCAGAAUAUAUCAAUCUUGUAUGGAGGGUUUGAACCACAAUUACAAAUACACCACACUGGAAGAUACUAAAGAGUACAUCCGUCAACAUAGAAAAACGCCCCUGACAUUCAAAGAGGCCCUGCAACUUGUGGAACAAGAGCAAAAUGCUUAACAGAUACAUUUGAAUGCUUUUUUUUGCAUGCUGAUAGCAAGGAUUAGGACUGACAACUGUUUAGUGCUGUUUCAAUAAGCUGCAGCCACAUGUUUGUCCAAAUAUUUAUUUUAAAUAAGCAAUUCUAUGAUUUAAACAAUAACUUUAAUAAAUAGAUUAGCAAUAUG